rnacentral:rRNA from 1 species
CGAACUUGGCAGAGAUGCCUUGGUGCCUUCGGGAACGCUGAGACAGGUGCUGCAUGGCUGUCGUCAGCUCGUGUUGUGAAAUGUUGGGUUAAGUCCCGCAACGAGCGCAACCCUUAUCCUUUGUUGCCAGCGAUUCGGUCGGGAACUCAAAGGAGACUGCCGGUGAUAAACCGGAGGAAGGUGGGGAUGACGUCAAGUCAUCAUGGCCCUUACGAGUAGGGCUACACACGUGCUACAAUGGCGCAUACAAAGAGAAGCGACCUCGCGAGAGCAAGCGGACCUCAUAAAGUGCGUCGUAGUCCGGAUCGGAGUCUGCAACUCGACUCCGUGAAGUCGGAAUCGCUAGUAAUCGUGGAUCAGAAUGCCACGGUGAAUACGUUCCCGGGCCUUGUACACACCGCCCGUCACACCAUGGGAGUGGGUUGCAAAAGAAGUAGGUAGCUUAACCCUCGGGAGGGCGCUUACCACUUUGUGAUUCAUGACUGGGGUGAAGUCGUAACAAGGUAAGCGUAGUGCU